rnacentral:rRNA from 1 species
GCGUCCUACGGGACGCAGCAGUGAGGAAUAUUGGUCAAUGGGCGGGAGCCUGAACCAGCCAAGUCGCGUGAAGGAAGAAGGUACUUAGUAUUGUAAACUUCUUUUGUCGGGGAACAAAGGCGGAGACGCGUCUCCGGAUGAGUGUACCCGAAGAAAAAGCAUCGGCUAACUCCAUGCCAGCAGCCGCGGUAAUACGGAGGAUGCGAGCGUUAUCCGGAUUUAUUGGGUUUAAAGGGUGCGCAGGCGGGAGAUCAAGUCAGCGGUAAAAUGUCGGGGCGCCACCCCGGCCGGCCG